UUCUCAUCUUCCUCAGGAAUACUUUUGGACUGCAAGAAGUCUGACAGGAGUAAAGGCUUAUAUACAGAGGAGGCGGAGCAAAUGAUCCAUUUAGUGCCAAUGGGGGACUUCUCUGUGGGUAGAUCUGUUGGUUCGUUCUGCGCAUGCUCAGUCCUCAUUCUUCUCCAGCAGUCGACGAGGGAGGAUCCUGUGUUUGCAGCUCCCGGGGUGAAGUCCCAGUCGGCCUUCUGU